rnacentral:rRNA from 1 species
UACGUAGGGGUCGAGCGUUGUCCGGAUUUACUGGGCGUAAAGGGUGCGCAGGCCGCGCGGACAGUCAAAUGUGAAAUUCAGGGGCUCAACCCCUGCAUUGCGCUUGAUACUUCCGCGCUCGAGCCUUGGAAAGGAGUCUGGAAUUCUCGGUGUAGCAGUGAAAUGCGUAGAUAUCGAGAGGAACACUAAGGGCGAAGGCAAGACUCUGGACAAGUGCUGACGCUCAUGCACGAAGGCUAGGGUAGCGAACGGG